rnacentral:rRNA from 1 species
UACAGAGGGGGCAAGCGUUGUUCGGAAUUACUGGGCGUAAAGGGCGCGUAGGCGGCCUUCUAAGUCGAACGUGAAAUCCCCGGGCUCAACCCGGGAACUGCGUCCGAUACUGGAAGGCUUGAAUCCGGGAGAGGGAUGCGGAAUUCCAGGUGUAGCGGUGAAAUGCGUAGAUAUCUGGAGGAACACCGGUGGCGAAGGCGGCAUCCUGGACCGGCAUUGACGCUGAGGCGCGAAAGCCAGGGAGCAAACGGG